GUGUGUGUGUGUUUACCAUCUGAGCUCUCAGCAGCACCUGGUCCUGCCCCGACCCUUUGAGGCCUUUCCCCAGGAGCAAAGUCUGCUGGGAAACCCUCUGCCUGAGAGAGUGAGCAUCUUCCUGCAGAGAGGAUCCAACAGGCUGAAGGUGCAAAAGCGUCUCCUCCUCCUCCUGGACUCACCUGGCGGCCAGGUGGGCUGGCCGGGGUGUGAAACGGCGUGAUGGGCGGGGAGGUGGGCCCCCCCCGGGCGUUCCCGUUGGUCAGGC